UAAUGUAUGGGAGUCUGCCCGAUAGAGGGGGAUAACUACUGGAAACGGUGGCUAUACCGCAUAAUGUCUACGGACCAAAGCAGGGGCUCUUCGGACCUUGCACUAUCGGAUGAACCCAUAUGGGAUUAGCUAGUAGGUGGGGUAAAGGCUCACCUAGGCGACGAUCUCUAGCUGGUCUGAGAGGAUGAUCAGCCACACUGGGACUGAGACACGGCCCAG
rnacentral:rRNA from 1 species